CACUUUACAUCUGCCUACACUAGAUGAAGCAUAUACGUGUACAUGUGAAUACAUGCAUGCAUUCCAUCCCAAGGUUCAAAGCAGAUCAUUCCUUCUAACAGAAUUAUUAAAUACAGUAUCUUAAAUGCUGCUGUAAUUUUACCUUCUCCUGGCAUUUUCAAUCACACUUUUAUUUUUACUGAAUUCUUCCAUCAACAUGAGCAAAUUUACAAUGUUUUUAAUAUAUUUUUCCCUGAGCUUACACCCAAGUAAGAGUGGAAUUCUUGUUAUUUUGCACUGGAUUAUCACAUACUACAGAGUGGAGGAGGAGACACAUCUACAAUUAUACAUUAUACUAAAUAUAUGCUUUGUUACAACCCUGUUCAUAAGUUCCAGUCCUAUAUAGCAGUGUCAGCAAAUGGAAACUGCGUAACAUAUGAGCACUUACAAUAAUGUAGCUAAAGGUAUUAAUGAUCCUCUGUAAUUACACAACAUUCAAGAAACCAUGACCACAAGCCUGCUGAGUGAUAUAGCUUGAGUCUUUAUGUCAGGAAUCUCCUUUGGGUAGAAGCAUUUGAUGUUUCAUGGUAAGGAGCUAUGGGUCCAGAUUCUGGUGUAAACUGAACAAGUAAUUACGAUACCAUGACCAGAUGUAAGGAAAUGGCAAGUUUCUCAAGGCAAAAUCUACUUUUUUCUCAAGAAAAAGCUGCAGAACCAAUGAAUUUAGGGAACCCUUUCUUAUACCCAUCAAUGCAAAUCAGAGACAUUCCUCCUAGGACGUUGUAUCAUGACAAGCAAGAAAGUAAGACAGCACGCAAGCAUCUGACCGUAGGGAUCAUACUUGAAGAAAACAUCUGUAAUGGGUUUCACGAAGAGAAAAACUACGCAAUUGGUAUCUCGUAAGAGAAAAAAAACAACCCUACUCUGACCUUGCUAGAGAGUUAGCCUGAUAAGGCAACAAGGAUGUUUCACAGAGAUAGACCAGAAUAAAACUGCUGCCAAAAUGCAGCAGGUUUACAAAUGUAUGGAUGGGCAGCAGGUCAGUGAUUCUGAUUCACCUCACUUGAACUGUUUCAUCCAGACUGGGUAGCAGCCAGAGAGACUCUGAUCUGCUUAAGGAUAUAAAACCAUUUUCGUUCAUUUCUUCCCGCUCCCCAGGACAAGUGGAGUUUAUCAUGUAGUCUCUCAAAUGGAGGUUCUCUCAGAGUCGUUGAGCGGCUGCACUUAAAUCUCUCAUUAUCUUUAAAUCCUCAUGUUUCACAUCAUAGGAGCUGACAAUAACUUUGUAAGAACUGAGUUGUAAGCAUUAAAAUCCUUUUUUAUGAUUGGUUUAAUUUCUGAUGGCAACAUAUUCAAUAUUAUUCUCAAUUGCUGCAUCCAGUCAUGAAAAUGAUGUAUUGGACAUGGUGCUUUUUUUAUGUUGAGAGCUAAUGAAGGAUGAACAAACUUACGGUGUGGCAUUGCCUCUAAGUGCACAGUAGUCCCUCACGUCUAUAAGUAAAUGAACAAAUAUAUCAGCUGGGAAGAGUAGCAAAAGUGAUACCUAGCACACAGUUCCACUCCAUCUCACAAAUAAACUUUUCCAAGUGACUCUAGCUGGUAACAGCUAGACUAAUUUCUCCUGGUUUUGCACGAAAAGCAGAAGAGUUUUUGCACCUCCGGAGGAGGAAUUUGGAAGAAGGGAAAGAAGUGGACACAAUUCUUAAAUGCAGAAUCCAUGUCAAGUAUCUGCUCAGAUGCUACAUGUUAAAAAAAAACACAACCGAAACUGAUUUACAUGAAGAAGAGCACUUUUUGACUCUUUAAAGAAAUGAAGGCCUGAAGCAUGCAGGACUGAUCUAAAGCCGUCUCAUCUUCCUUUCUAGUUCUUGGAAGCACUAAAGCUAUUCUGAAAUCACUUGCUUAUGCAGGCUUUGCAGCUUCUGGUGAUCCCAGUUCAUGAGGGAAAUGAGUUAAUGAUCACAUACCCUCUGGGACCUCUGACUUUCUAGGCAAGCAGGGCACAAAAAUACAUGUGACACAUAAGAAAGUGUCUGAAAACAGUCCCCAUAGGCUACAAGCAAUCUAUUUUCUGAUUUAUAAUUACAAAGGGUCAAGACAUUGCUAUACUGCACUGUGGACCUUCAAUCCAUGACUGUAUACUGAUAACACACAAUAUUAGUCUGACAUAGCUAAUAUUAUAUCUUUGGAGCCGGGAAGCCUAAAAAUAGACCAGUAGCAGUGACUUUCAUUAAGAGUUGUGCCUUGAAGACAGCAGACCUGCCUCUCUCUUCCUCCAUUUACUAGCUGAGGUGGAAGCAUAGGAAAAAGGCACAACUUUCAGAGUAAAUAAUUUCCAACAAAGCAGUGCUAAUGCACUGGCUCUUGAAUAACCAAAUGCAACAAAAUAGAUUGGAUUGUUUACAGUGAGUCGGAAUUCAAGACAGCUGAAGCAUCCUUAUUAAUAAUUACAAUUAUAGAGAGAAUUGGGCACUAUAUUCGAUUACAACUACUGAAACUCUCCCAAGGGAUGCUAAUAUCAAAGUCAUUAAGGUAUUUUCAUUUCCCUAGGUCUUCUCAUCAUUUUAAAGUUCUACUAUGAUUUAGGAUUUGCAAAAAUGGCAGAUUUACUUGUGACUCUGUCUUGGAUUUCAGUAUUAUCCCUAGCUUAGUGGCAAGGAAGGAAAUGCUCAUCCACAAGCAGAAUACCUUUAGUAAUGUUUAUCAAGCCUUACACAAGAGUUGCAAUUCACAUCUGUCAUUCUACAGCUAAAAUGUGGAAUUUUAACAUUCUUGAUACAGAAUACAUUUAUCACUGGCUGACUGGUUUUUAUGAGCUCUUUAAAACACAUGACCAGAAAACGCAGAUACAGUGUCUACUGCUCUGAGCAUUUCCCAUAUGAAUUUCAGGCUUUAGUUGACUUCAUGAAAGAUUUUUUGGGAAAGUUACAUAGAGAACACAUUAUAAGUAUGAUACAAAAUCAUUCAGGCUCUUGAGACUUUCUUGAGCAAAGUCACUUCCUGUGAUUUUACAGCUCUGAGAAGUCACUAUUUAUUUCUGUCUUUUAAAGCAAGUGAAAUGCUACACACACCCUUACAGUAGACUAUAAUAUGUUUAAUAUGAUAAAUACCCUUAAUGAGACAUUCAACUGCUAACAAGUUUCUAAAAUAAGGUGUAUUACAAUUUAACAGAUAUAAGCACCAUUUGCUUCAUUCAUAUGUGGAAGGCCAGGUCCUAGCAUGCAAGGGUAGAUGAAUCCAAAUUUGGAGUUCUAUUCCUAGUGAUACUUCUAUUAUAAUAAAUCUUUGCUUUUAUUUAAAAUUAUAGAAAUUUUAAAGAUGAAUGCCUACAAAUACUUGAACUUUCAUUAUUAUUAAACAACAGUGGACAUGAGAACUAAGAAAGCAACUGCAAGAACUGAAGGAGAAGAGAGACUAAUAACUGGAAGAGGAAGUUCACGGUUCACUUUCUACGUGCAAGUCCAAGAAAACAUUUUGAAAAACUGCAAGGAAACAAGACAGAAGAUUUGCUUUUAUCUAAGGAAAAAUCAAAGAAUUUCAGCAAGUAAAAAAAUGUUCAUGAACACAACAGUGCUCAAUUGUGCACUUCCUUUCUGUACAUCACUUCUACAGCAACUGUGAAAUGUGAAGCGAAUUGAACUCUGGGAAUUGACAGCCUUUCAAAGUGUAUUCUGGAAUAUAAGGGCUGUCACAUAACCCAAGAAAUUCAAAGGCUCAGCUAGAGACCAAACUUGGAAGAUCUGGAGAUAAUUGUCUAGGAAGAGCAUUUUUCUAAGCAUGGUUAUUAACAUCUAAGAAAAUUAACAAGAAAGUCAACAAACUCAGGUUCUGAAGCUAUCAAAAACUCGAUAAACAUUUAAACUGUUAAAAUAUCAUUGUAAGAGCGAAUUGUAUUGACAUAGGCAUAGUUACAACUUGAAUCAAGAGUUAUAAAGCUUCACCUACUAGUGAAGAGAUCUUCUGUUAACAGAGAAGAAAACAUUUUCUUCUGUGAAGACAAAUUAGUCACAAAUUGCACAAAGACUGGGUUCUUUUAAAAAGUUAAAACUUUAUUGUACAUUCCUACUAUGCUAAAGACUAUAGAUUGGCUAUAAAAUUAAGAAACCCCA